GAUCCUACGGGGCGCAGCAGUCGAGAAUCAUUCACAAUGGGGGGAACCCUGAUGGUGCGACGCCGCGUGGGGGAAUGAAGGUCUUCGGAUUGUAAACCCCUGUCAUGUGGGAGCAAAUUAAAAAGAUAGUACCACAAGAGGAAGAGACGGCUAACUCUGUGCCAGCAGCCGCGGUAAUACAGAGGUCUCAAGCGUUGUUCGGAAUCACUGGGCGUACAGCGUGCGUAGGCUGUUUCGUAAGUCGAGUCUGAAAGGUGCGG
rnacentral:rRNA from 1 species